UACGUAGGGGGCAAGCGUUGUCCGGAUUUACUGGGCGUAAAGAGCGUGUAGGCGGCCUGACAGGUCUGCUGUGAAAACUCGAGGCUCAACCUCGAGAUGUCGGCGGAAACCGUCUGGCUAGAGUCCGGAAGAGGAGAGUGGAAUUCCUGGUGUAGCGGUGAAAUGCGCAGAUAUCAGGAAGAACACCUAUGGCGAAGGCAGCUCUCUGGGACGGUACUGACGCUGAGACGCGAAAGCGUGGGGAGCGAACAGG
rnacentral:rRNA from 1 species